CUCUGUUACAACUGUAGCGGGAGACCCCCAUAAGGCUAUGGUUCUGGGGUCUACCCACUGAGAACAGAAAUUCAUGGUGAUUUCGGAUCGCGGUGGACAGUUCAUUGCCGUAACAGCCUAAUGAAACUGGAGAUUCGGACCCUGACACCGGGGAAGGACCCUGUCCAGAAGACCCCUGUCCGGAAGACUCUUGCCCACAAGACCCCUGUCCUGAAGAUCCGGUCGUGCCAGAUGACAACGGAGCUGGCGGAGGAGGUGGGGAACUGGAACGUCCUACGGGGCCCGCUUCCCCUAUAGUACCACCACCCAUGACCCAAGAGAGUGAGCCACCAGUUGUACCGAGAGGGAGCACACCGCAAAUUAUCCCGGGGAUGAGUGCGACGGGAAGAGGCACCCCCCCGGCCACACCAAACGCCGGGGCCAAGAGGGCCAAUCCCUGGAGGAACUCCAGUACCUCUUCAGCCCAUUUCUCCUCAUCCAUCUCCGUUGGACCUGACAGAGUGACCCCCGUGGCUUGACCUGUACCACCAGUUUGCCUUUGCCGCAGUUUAGUAUUGAUGUUGUGUUUAAUAAAGCAGCCCAUAGUUCCAA